UGUCGCAAUCCGUACAGCUCAGCUCAGCUCAGCUGCUCAAUCAUCGGGGUAGCCAAGUAGGCUCCACGCUUGCGCUCUCUCUCUCUCUCUCACACACACACUCCUCCAUCGCGCAGGCUUGUUUUCGCACCUUGUCAGUGUAAUCAACCUUGUUCACAUGAGUAACACAAGAUCGUUGAAUUUUCGUGGCUCAAAAGCAAAGCAAGCCAAUAAAAAGCCGCGCCAUCAUUGUUGUUCUUUCUUUUGUCUCUUUGUCGUUCUCCUAACACCACUAUUACGGGACACUAAUUAAUUAAGUAAUUAAUUCUUUCGUCCUCGUGCCUACAAAUCUCGAAAGGCCGCCUAUUAAGGUAUUUAGCAAAACGUGGAUGUUUUUUGUUAGUUUGUGAUUUGAAAGAUACAAGAGGGAAGAUCUUUUCGAAAGGAAUCAUAUAUUUCAGGUGGUGGGGUCACCGGAGUCACUUCUAAUGUUAUAAAUGGAGGGUUGGGUUUGAUUUCUGGUGGAAUUUGGUGAUUGAUAGAUUCAUGUCUAUUUCUGCUUCGUAUUCCAUCCUCACAGUUUGCAAGGAUGCAGCUGGAAUCGCCGGGAACAUCUUUGCUUUUGGGUUAUUUGUGUCGCCCAUACCCACUUUCAGAAGAAUUAUCAGAAAUGGGUCAACAGAAAUGUUCUCAGGCUUGCCCUAUAUUUAUGCCCUCUUGAAUUGCUUGAUCUGCAUGUGGUAUGGCACGCCUCUCAUAUCUCUUGAUAAUUUAAUGGUCCUGACGGUUAACUCAGUUGGGGCAGUCUUUCAGUUUGUGUACAUAAUCCUCUUUGUGAUAUAUGCAGAGAAAAACAGAAAGGUGAGAAUGAUUGGAUUACUGCUGGUUGUUUUGGGGUUAUUUGCAAUCAUAGUAUUUGGAAGCUUGCAGAUAGCUGACCAUGUAAUGCGCCGGAUGUUUGUGGGAUUCUUGAGUGUUGCUUCUCUUAUUUCAAUGUUUGCCUCUCCUCUGUUUAUAAUUAAACUGGUGAUUCGGACAAAGAGUGUGGAGUUUAUGCCAUUUUAUCUUUCGCUAUCAACCUUCUUAAUGAGUGCUUCAUUCUUUCUUUAUGGAUUGCUCAAUUCUGAUGUGUUUGUUUAUGUACCCAAUGGAAUAGGAACAUUAUUGGGAAUAGUACAAUUAGCUUUGUACUACUACUACAAGGGUGCAUCUAGAGAAGAGUCCAGAGAACCCUUGAUAGUGUCAUAUGCAUGAACAGUUCAAAUGACAAAAUAAGGUAAAGUAAAAUACACAAUAAUUGUCAUUGAGAUCUCUGGCUUUUGUAGGCCCUUUUUUCUUCAGUUCAGAGGUUGUUAUCUGCAGUACAAGCGGCUUGUUUUCAUGAUAAUCGAUGAUGAGUUGAAAUGUAUGUUGGGGAUUUCUUCAGCGAGUACAUUCAUGGCUUUAGAUUAAUGAAGUGUGUCUGUUCCACUUAAGAAAAGCAAUGAUGUAACAUUCUCUGUGGUGAAGAGUGAUUUUUACUAUUUCAGCACUCUCAUUUUUAUGAUCUUCACUUCAGGGAUUCCCCCCCCCCUUUCUAGUUGGCACAAUGUGACAAAGAUAGAAUUUUCAUGAGGUUAAAAUAUUCUAGAAGUUUCCGGAAUGAACCAGGACAAUCAAGAAAACCCCGGAGUCUUCUGGAAUACGCCGUUCUCUUAGCCUCUUUGCCUACUUGUGGGAUUCGGCUGACUUAGCAAAGAUCAAGAGAGGGAUCAAGCUAAGGCCGGCACGGUUUAAGGGAAGGGAGUUUCAAGGCCGUGACAACAAGCUAAUAAUCAUGCUCAUGAAAUGAGGGAUGAUAUAUUUUCAAUUUGAUUGACGACAGUAAAUUCCACCUGGAUGCCUGAAACUAGGAACUGGGCUCCUCUGCUAAUCGAAAGACCUAUUUCCUUAUAUAUAUAUAUAUAUAUCCUCUCCAAUCUCUCAUUAUACUAUCAUAAUUGAGAUGUUGUCUCAUUUGCAAAUUUUUGAAGAAAAGGUCCUAUAAACAUCAGUUACUUUUGUCUGUAAUCACAUAUUGCCUUGAUCAUCAAGAGCUCUGAGUUCAAUUCAGACUCUGACGUUUCUGCUUCUUUGAAUGCUUAUUGUAAAAUUUGGAUUGGGGGCUAGUACUGUUCAAAACACGCGUGGUAGGGUGAUGUGAAUUAGUUCCAGUAAAUUUGCAUGAAGGGUAUGAUCUGUGAAAAAAUUGAGUUAUGUAUAUGGAGAUGAGUACGCUAAAUAAUAGUCUAUUGCUUCGUUUUUCA